rnacentral:piRNA from 1 species
UUGGGCCGAAACGAUCUCAACCUAUUC